UCGUUCAUUUUUAGCUCACCUGGCCCGAAGGGCCAAGUGAGCUUUUCUCACCACUUGGCGUCCGUCGUCCGUCGUCGUCGUCCGUCGUCCGUCGUCGUCGUCGUUAACAAUUUACAUUUUGAACUUCUUCUAGAGAACCACUGACUGGAAUGGAACCAAACAUGGCAUGAAUGUUCCUUAUGAGGUGCUGACCAAGUGUUGUUACUUUGUAGCCGAUCCAUCAUCCAAGAUGGCCGCCAGCGGGGACUUAGUUUAACAUAGGACCCUAUGGGAAAUGCAUACAAAUGACUUCUUUUAGAGAACCACUGAAUGGAAUGAAACCAAACAUGGCAUGAAUGUUCCUUAUGAGGUACUGACCAAGUGUUGUUACUUUGUUGCCGAUCCAUCAUCCAAGAUGGCUGCUAGCCGGGGACUUAGCUUAACAUAGGACCCUAUGGGAAAUGCAUACAAAUGACUUCUUUUAGAGAACCACUGAAUGGAAUAAAACCAAACAUAGCAUGAAUGUUCCUUAUGGGUGCUGACCAAGUGUUGUUACUUUGUAGCCGAUCCAUCAUCCAAGAUGGCCGCCAGCGGGGGACUUAGUUUAACAUAGGACCCUAUGGGAAAUGCAUACAAAUGACUUUCUUUUAGAGAACCACUGAAUUGAAUGAAACCAAACAUGGCAUGAAUGUUCCUUAUGAGGUGCUGACCAAGUAUUGUUACUUUGUUGCCGAUCCAUCAUCCAAGAUGGCCGCCAGCGGGGGACUUAGUUUAACAUAGGACCCUAUGGGAAAUGCAUACAAAUGACUUCCUCUAGAGAACCACUGAAUGGAAUGAAACCAAACAUGGCAUGAAUGUUCCUUAUGAGGUGCUGACCAAGUGUUGUUACUUUGUUGCCGAUCCAUCAUCCAAGAUGGCCGCCAGCCGGGAAAUUAGUUUAACAUAGGACCCUAUGGGAAAUGCAUACAAAUGACUUCUUUUAGAGAACCACUGAAUGGAAUAAAACCAAACAUAGCAUGAAUGUUCCUUAUGGGGUGCUGACCAAGUGUUGUUACUUUGUAGCCGAUCCAUCAUCCAAGAUGGCCGCCAGCGGGGGACUUAGUUUAACAUAGGACCCUAUGGGAAAUGCAUACAAAUGACUUCUUCUAGAGAACCACUAAAUGGAAUGAAACCAAACAUAGCAUGAAUGUUUCUUAUGGGGUGCUGACCAAGUGUUGUUACUUUGUAGCCGAUCCAUCAUCCAAGAUGGCCGCCAGCGGGGGACUUAGUUUAACAUAGGACCCUAUGGGAAAUGCAUACAAAUGACUUCUUCUAGAGAACCACUCAAAGGAAUGAAACCAAACAUAGCAUGAAUGUUCCUUAUGGAGUGCUGACCAAGUGUUGUUACUUUGUAGCCAAUCCAUCAUCCAAGAUGGCCGCCAGCGGGGGACUUAGUUUAACAUAGGACCCUAUGGGAAAUGCAUACAAAUGACUUCUUUUAGAGAACCACUGAAUGGAAUGAAAUCAAACAUGGCAUGAAUGUUCCUAAUGUGGUGCUGACCAAGUGUUGUUACUUUGUAGCCGAUCCAUUAUCCAAGAUGGACGCCAGCGGGGGACUUAGUUUAACAUAGGACCCUAUGGGAAAUGCAUACAAAAUGACUUCUUUUAGAGAACAACUGAAUGGAAUGAAACCAAACAUUGCAUGAAUGUUCCUUAUGCCGUGCUGACCAUGUGUUGUUUCUUUGUAGCCCAUCCAUCAUCCAAGAUGGCCGCCAGCAUGGGACUUAGUUUAACAUAGGACCCUAUGGGAAAUGCAUACAAAUGACUUCUUUUAGAGAACCACUGAUGGGAAUGAAAUCAAACAUGGCUUGAAUGUUCCUAAUGUGGUGCUGACCAAGUGUUGUUACUUUGUAGCCGAUCCAUUAUCCAAGAUGGCCGCCAGCAGGGACUUAGUUUAACAUAGGACCCUAUUGGAAAUGCAUACAAAUGACUUCUUUUAGAGAACCACUGAAUUGAAUGAAACCAAACAUGGCAUGAAUGUUCCUUAUGAGGUGCUGACCAAGUAUUGUUACUUUGUUGCCGAUCCAUCAUCCAAGAUGGCCGCCAGCGGGGGACUUAGUUUAACAUAGGACCCUACGGGAAAUGCAUACAAAUGACUUCCUCUAGAGAACCACUGAAUGGAAUGAAACCAAACAUGGCAUGAAUGUUCCUUAUGAGGUGCUGACCAAGUGUUGUUACUUUGUUGCCGAUCCAUCAUCCAAGAUGGCCGCCAGCCGGGAAAUUAGUUUAACAUAGGACCCUAUGGGAAAUGCAUACAAAUGACUUCUUUUAGAGAACCACUGAAUGGAAUAAA
rnacentral:lncRNA from 1 species